rnacentral:rRNA from 1 species
CAGUCGCCACGGUAAUACGUAGGGUGCGAGCGUUAAUCGGAAUUACUGGGCGUAAAGCGAGCGCAGGCGGUUAGAUAAGUCUGAAGUUAAAGGCUGUGGCUUAACCAUAGUACGCUUUGGAAACUGUUUAACUUGAGUGCAAGAGGGGAGAGUGGAAUUCCAUGUGUAGCGGUGAAAUGCGUAGAUAUAUGGAGGAACACCGGUGGCGAAAGCGGCUCUCUGGCUUGUAACUGACGCUGAGGCUCGAAAGCGUGGGGAGCAAACAGGAUUAGAUACCCCGGUAGUCCCUGUCUCUUAUACA